AGCACAAAGAAGAUGGCGAGGGGAGAGCUGCUCUGGUUGGAGCUGGUGGGUUAGGGCUAAGUAGAGAGAGGAGAUGUGGUUUUCUGUGCUGAGUUGUAGCUGGGAUGCUGAAGUUAAACAUCUGGUUAAUUGAUAAAAAGAGCUACAGCAGCCCUGUACUUGUUACAGCCAUGCUGGGACACAGGAGCCUGGGUCUCCAUUAUGAUUACACUGCAGUGAGUGCCAAAGACUGUGCCUGGAAAUUGGAUCAGCUGAGCUUUGAACAGUAUCUGCUGCUUUUCCCACCGAAUCAGAAGCCAGCCUACCUCUGCAGAGCUUCACCGCCAUGCUCAGACCCAGGUGCAGCCCAGACAACACUGAAACCCUGGAAAUCUGCUGGCAGUGAGAAACGCGCAUCUCCUUCCCCCUCUGUGCUGUGGUUCUGUUUACCCGAGAUUCUGCCAAGGCUUCCAUAGCUGAUACGAAGAAGUCUGGAAAGCCACCUCCACGCCCUGAUGUAGCACUACAGCACAGCCCUGAAGUGGCAGCUGUGAAAUGCAGAACAGCCAGACAAAGCUGGUAACACGUUUGUACAGCCUGGGGUGUCAGGAGGAAUCAGCUCCACAGAGCGGACGAGGAGACAGAGAAGUGAAGUUUUUGGUUCUCUCCUUGGUUUACUACAUUGCGAAGCAAGCUGUCCUCGAGUCCUCUGGGAAGCCUUUCUGCACAACCAUUAUCCCUCUCUUCGAGUCUGAAAAGGAAUUACUGCACGUGAAUCUGGCGAGGUUUGGAGAAGCACUGAAGGGUUCUUGCAUUAUGGACGUCAAAGUGUGACCCCACGAUUGCCAGAGGCCACCUAGCACCUCCCUCCAGAAGCACGUAUCAGGUCUUGACCACAGAGGGUGGUUAGUGAGCAGCACUGCAGUACACACAACCCAACCUGCUGCAAAAUGACUCCCCCAGAUGGAUCCCCUCCAAUGAGGAUAAUAUAAGUCAGACAUUAGAAGCUCUCAAGAGCUCUGGGCCAACACUAUACCAAAUCAGAACCAUUCCCCAGGAGGGAAGCUGACUCAAGAAGGCUGUGGAAAUGUAAGGUGGGGCACAACGCCGUGCUUGGGAAGAUGCUUUCCUUUGAAAUAAGGCUGAGCUACGAGGAAAAUUGCCUGCACAAGAGAUUUGCUGAAUUUAAGGAUCUGAGAACCAUCCCUUCCCAGCCUGCGGAGUCACUCACAGAACCUAUCAGGGAGAGAGACUUCGUCGUCAGUGGUAUUUAAUGUUGAACUUCAGCUCCAUUGAGUGCAGGCUUAAAGCGUAACAUUUUGACAGCCUCACAAGAUGCUGUCUGAGCUGACACAGAAGAAGACUCUUCUGAACUGGCGGUGUCUGGCCUUCAAAGGACCAGUGAAUGAUUACCCACAGCCAGACAGUGCCCUAUCCCUGGGGACAGAGGCGUUGGCCUCAUCCAAUGGGACUGAAUCCCACUGCAGCUUCAGGACAAUUAGGAGCUGUUUGCUCCAACACCUUCGUGCGCCUGGCAGUGCUGCCCAGCUGGAGAUAAGCAGGUAUCAACCCCCUGGAGGAAUAUGCUCCUCAGUCAAACUAAAUUUGAAAGCAUUUUAUUUUUAGCCUGUCAUUCAUAAUUUCUCUUGUGCACGUCACGGUGACUCAUGCUUUGUUCCUCCUUACCCAAACGGGUGCCUGCAGAGACAACGUGAUUCCUUGUUUAAUGCAUGGUCUCUCUGUUUGAGGGCUUGUUGUUUCAGUGACGCCUGGAAGCAGCAAGGGUUCUUCUCAGCUGAGCACUUUUAUGCUGUGAGAGUUUGUAGGUGUCCUUUUGUGGGUUUUUUUUUUUUUUUCCCCAUAAGAAAUAUGGCUUAAGUAAAAUGCAGCCAUGCUAAAUGCAUAUGCUCUGGCCACAUCCACCUGAAGGCCAUCAAAUGGAAAAGCAGCUGUUAAUGCAGAGGAGACCAUCCUGUGCGUCACGUUGUGUUUCUCACAUCCCUGCCAACCCCUUCACAGAUGUUCAGCCCAGACCAUUCCCCGGAACAUCUGUGCCACAUCCCCUACCUGCUGCAAGCCACAAAACGCCUCCCUGCAAGACCUCCUCAUAAACCUCAGACCCUGCGUGGAAAACACAAAACCUUCAAAAUGGUACUGCAUUACAGAGAAAAAAAAAUAAAAAAUGGAAGAGAUCAAAGGCAAAGAAAGGAGCAAACAGUUCCUAAUAGUUGCCUCAUGCUUUCUAUGUGGACUGCUACUGGCUUUUCCAAAUGUAUAGCCAUGGCACUGAGCUCACAACGCUGUUUUCUGUUUCCCUGGAGCUCACGACUCACCUCAGCUUUGUCUGAUCCCUCCAGUGAGCUAUUAGAGCACCAACUGUUGGGAGGUUGUUUUAGCAACAGUUUGAAAAGUGAUUUUUUAUGAGCUGUUUAUUACCCUCUCAGAUUUAUGAUGUUCCAUUCAGACCGAUUAUGUGAAAUAAUAAUAAUAAAAAAAGUCUCUAACAAAACAUGGACUAAAACCAAAAAAAGGAGGGUUC
ensembl:lncRNA